rnacentral:rRNA from 1 species
AACGAACGUUAGCGGCGCGCUUAACACAUGCAAGUCGAGCGAGAAAGGGCUUCGGCCCCGGUAAAGCGGCGCACGGGUGAGUAACACGUAGGUAAUCUGCCCUCAGGUGGUGGAUAACUUUCCGAAAGGAAGGCUAAUACAGCAUGAGACCACGGUUCCGAAAGGGACAGGGGUCAAAGCCGGCCAAUUCAUGAAAGCUGGUGCCAGAGGAUGAGCCUGCGGCCCAUCAGCUAGUUGGUAGGGUAAUGGCCUACCAAGGCGAAGACGGGUAGCUGGUCUGAGAGGAUGAUCAGCCACACUGGAACUGAGACACGGUCCAGACUCCUACGGGAGGCAGCAGUGGGGAAUCUUGCGCAAUGGGCGAAGGCCUGACGCAGCGACGCCGCGUGAGUGAUGAAGGCCCUCGGGUUGUAAAGCUCUGUGGAGGGGGACGAAUAAGGGUUGGCUAAUAUCCAACUUGAUGACGGUACCCCUUUAGCAAGCACCGGCUAACUCUGUGCCAGCCGCCGCCGUAAAAC